CCGACAUCUGGUGCCUGAACAGGGACCGGCAAUUUACAGUUGGUGGGACUAAAAAAAAAAUCUUUGAGUUUGCAGUGAUACUUGGAGUAUGUCAUUAAGAACAAGUAUGUCCGAUAAGCCAGAAAGAGAAAGUGGUCUACUCCACACUAUGGUAAAUGGAACCACAGAAAAUUCUGUCCCUUUUAGAAUUUGGAAAAGAAACAAUUCAGACAACAGGAGUCAGAAACAACCUUAUGUAUUUCUACUUGUUUGCUGCAUUUAUUGAAUCACUGUAGAUUAUUGCACACUUUUACUUUAAGGU